GUAUCAAAGUGCAAAAUUAUCCGAUAAAGUAAUCUUUCUUCCUCUUUACCCCCUCCGUUUCUCUCUCAUCGCAUCUAACGGGUCCUUUCCUUCUCCUCAAGAUCCGCCAAUCCAAUGCCCAAAGCUCUCUCCUCUCCGGCAUCGGGUUGCGGAUCCUCUAUCCAAACCCGACCAUGUUCAAGAUCCGCCUUUGAUGAAAGAGAACAUUUGGGAAGUAUGACUAAAUCAUUGAGUUUACUGACGCCGAUUAGAGAGGCUUACUUGCUGGAGGUGACUACCGAUGAAGGUGUUUGAUGCAAUUCAAGAUCAGAAUCCAGACCUUAGCAAACAAAAGAGGGGGCAUUAUGGAACAGGAUCAUGGUUUAGCUUCACGGAACCAGAUCAACGGUUUCAUAAUUAGUAGGUAUUGAAUGCAAGACACGUACUCACAACACAAAAUCAGAAGAAAAAGAGGUAUUAUCGGGUUAUUAUUAUUGUUAUUUACAAAAGAACAGGAGGAGAAGGAAAGACUGUUGCAGCAAGUUGCCUGAUACGUUUCAGAUGUUUCUGUGCAAAUUAUAUCAGACGAGCUAUGAAGAAUAAAAAAGGUCAUUUAAUUGAAUCAUUGGAGGGCAUCAGUCUCACUAAAAUGUGAAUUUAAGCUGUCAUUUCCUUCUAAAAACAGGGAAAAUAAUUUCUUGACGUUGUACAUAGAGUGUUUUACUUUUUUUUUCUUUGGGUUUUUUCAUAGAAACCACAUUUAAGA